rnacentral:rRNA from 2 species
AAGCCUCUAAGCAUCAGGUAACAUCAAAUCGUACCCCAAACCGACACAGGUGGUCAGGUAGAGAAUACCAAGGCGCUUGAGAGAACUCGGGUGAAGGAACUAGGCAAAAUGGUGCCGUAACUUCGGGAGAAGGCACGCUGGUGUGUAGGUGAAGUCCCUGCGGAUGGAGCUGAGACCAGUCGAAGAUACCAGCUGGCUGCAACUGUUUAUUAAAAACACAGCACUGUGCAAACACGAAAGUGGACGUAUACGGUGUGACGCCUGCCCGGUGCCGGAAGGUUAAUUGAUGGGGUUAUCCGUAAGGAGAAGCUCUUGAUC